AGGACGAACGCUGGCGGCGUGCUUAACACAUGCAAGUCGAGCGAGGCCCACCUUUCGGGGUGGUGUCCUAGCGGCGAACGGGUGAGUAACACGUGGGCAACCUGCCCUCAGCUCUGGGAUAACUCCAAGAAAUUGGGGCUAAUACCGGAUAUGACUGCUGACCGCAUGGUCUGGUGGUGGAAAGAUUUAUCGGCUGGGGAUGGGCCCGCGGCCUAUCAGCUUGUUGGUGGGGUGAUGGCCUACCAAGGCGACGACGGGUA
rnacentral:rRNA from 1 species